CAUAAAAACAGUGUCAGGAAUAGCUCAGCCCUUCCCAGAGGCAGCAAGAGGGCAAGAAGAACAGAGGAGACUGAGCUUGCAGGUCUCUAAAUGACCUCAAGUCAUCACAGCCACUGGUGCUGAAGGAAAUGGGAAAAUAGUCUCGUGACCCAGCAAGUGCUUCCCAUGCAGUCUGUCAUCUCUGGAGGCCUCAGAACCUGGUGUCACAUUACAGGGUGAAUGCCAGGGACAAGCUAAAGAGAG
rnacentral:lncRNA from 1 species